rnacentral:misc_RNA from 1 species
UCGUCCAGUUUCAGGACAAAAAUAAUUAUGAAUUAUUUCAUUGACCAAUCCACCGUUAAAUUGAAGCUUUGAGCUUUAUUUAGAUUGAAUAAAGUAGCUUUCGUUUGGCAGGAGUGGCGGCCGCGUAACUGGAAAGACAUAACAUGCAGUGGUUUUGUAAUACGAUUAGGUUUAUAAGUUUACGGAAGUUUUAAUGGGAUAUAGCUGUUAUUGUUGCCGUGAAAUUGAAUUUAAUGUAUGAAUAGUGUUGUUCUGUGGUUGUUAUAAGCGUUCAAAAUGUCUAACCAUCGUAAUAAAUACGAGAAAGCAAGAAGACGUCUCGCCGCAGUGACUUUUCUGUCUAACAUAUCUCUGGACGGAACGUUCAAGGAUACGGAAUUAUGUCACGUUGUUAAGAAGAGCGAGAAGUCGGAGAGCAAGGUCGUGGAGCUGGUGAAUGGGGUGGAGAAGGAUAGGGGAUACGAGAGCGUCCGCCGCAAGGCGCCCCAGAGCCCGGCGCACCGCGUCCUUGAUAACCAUUCCGUGAGCUCUGACUCCGAUCCCAAUGCUAGCAUUACUCCAGUCAAGGCUGCCAAUCAUGUGUUUAGAGAAAGAUGUUCAUCCGGGAAUCAAGAGUCAUUCAAAGAGAAACUUGUUAAGACCAAGAAAGUACACCUAUCAUCACUUACCGGCAUCAAUAUUGAUGAUAAGAGCAGUUCGGAAAGCUUGAAUUUUGGUCGCUUCCGCACAAGCAGUACCUGCAUCCCAGAAAACCAGGUUCACACAAAGGAGUUGCGAUUCAUUCGUCCCUUGACCAAAGGGGUGUCGUUCAGAGAUGAAAGGCUGGCACUUGCGCCUAAUUCCUGUGUGCCAUGUGUUGUAUUCAGUACUAUACCAUAUUCGAAAACUGUCAGGAAUCCUCGAUCCGACCACAGAAAAGAUGGCGGUCGUCGUCGCAACACUUCCGGUUCCGCAAGACCUCUCUCAGCUAUCACUGACAAUGGCGUGGAUCCUUUCGAUCUUCUUGGUUUGGAAAAAGAGGAAAACGGACAAGAUAUCUCCUAUUCAAAACUGCUUGUACCGUCCCGAGUGUGUACUAGAGAGCAGUAUAGAAAGAUGUAUGAAGGCGACUUCAGUGACAAAGCUAAUUGGAAGCUGAUGAACCGUAAUCCUCAUGUUAUUGCCAGAACUAAGUUAUUGACGAGGCACAAGGAUAAGAAAUGGUGCUUCUCGUACGAGUCGUCGCAGAGGCCUCAAAUGGCCGCGUCGCCGCCGCUGAGUACGGUUGAUAACAAAGCGUUCGAUUGGGAGGAAGCGUCAAUGCUGACGCCUAAAUAUGUGCAAUACUGUCCCAACGUCCUAGACGAUCCCGAGCUAAUCGCCGGCAAACACCGGACGUUACUCACAUUCACAUCCUACAUGACGUCUAUCAUCGACUACGUCCGUCCGCAAGACUUGAAGAAGGAACUCAACGACAAAUUCCGAGAGAAAUUCCCUCACCUCAAACUGACGCUUAGCAAAUUGAGAAGUAUUAAAAAGGAGAUGCGUAAGAUAGCCAAACAUGACAGUGGCGGCAUCGACUUGUUAUCCGUCGCCCAAGCGUACGUCUACUUCGAAAAGUUGAUCCUGGCGAAUCUCAUUACCAAAGAUAACAGAAAAUUGUGUGCUGGCGCGUGCUUGCUGCUGUCUGCUAAACUAAAUGACGUCAAGGGAGAAACAUUGAAGGCUUUAAUUGAGCGCAUCGAGACCACCUUCAGAGUGAACCUCAAAGAUUUGAUAAAAUUCGAGUUCGCGGUCCUCGUGGCCCUCGAGUUCGGCCUCCACGUGCCGCCGUACGAGGUGUUCCCGCACUACCAGCGGCUGCUGCACGACUCGUGACCUUGGCGGGUGCGCCGCCGCCGGCUCUCCGCCAGGGAGAUCGACAAGUACGCCGUGCUGCCGUUCGUGCCCGCCGGACACAGGUACUGGUGUUAUAUUGCUCACUCAGCCUAAUAUUAAAAUAUUCUUGGGGAGUUGAAGAAUCUACGCCAAAAAAGGGAGCCCAUCUCGAAGCUGUUAUUGCGACGUCCGAUAAUUCCUCCGAAGUUGACCUGAGCGAAGACUCGUCGAUCUGGCAAUUCUGGCGACCGUUUAAACUAUGGAACUGGGGUCGCAGUUUGAUGAACGAAGAAUAUAAUGAAAAUGCGAAGAGCAGUUACGGAUACGGACGACACGGGAUGUUCCAUCGAGACCGAAAAAGAUCGAAAAUUAAAAACAAAAUAAAAUUCCUUGUAAAAAUACAUCAAUUUCAA